rnacentral:rRNA from 1 species
GACGAACGCUGGCGGCGUGCUUAACACAUGCAAGUCGAACGGAAAGGCCCCUUUUGGGUUACUCGAGUGGCGAACGGGUGAGUAACACGUGCGUAACCUGCCCUCGACUUCGGUUUAACUUCAGGAAACUGGGUCUAAUACCGGAUAGGAAUCCUUUCUGCCUGGUGGGGGUUGGUAAGCUUCGGGGGGUUUGGAUGGACUCGCGGCCUAUCAGCCUGUUUGUGGGGUAGUGGCUUACCAAGGCUUUGACGGGUAGCCGGCCUGCGAGGGCGACCGGCCAAAUUGGGAAUGGGAUACGGCCCAAGCUCCUACGGGAGGGAGCAGUGGGGAAUAUUGCACAAUGGGCGGAAGCCUGAUGCAGCAACGCCGGGUGCGGGAUGACGGCCUUCGGGUUGUAAACCGCUUUCAGCAGGGGAGAAGCUUGUGGUGACGGUAACUGGAAAAGAAGCACCGGCUAACUACGUG